rnacentral:rRNA from 12 species
CGCUAAGGAGUGUGUAACAACUCACCUGCCGAAUGAACUAGCCCUGAAAAUGGAUGGCGCUGAAGCGGGCCACUUAUACUCCACCACUGAUGCAAAUGUUUAGUGUCAGUGAGUAGGAGGGCGUGAAGGUUGUCGUGCAGCUCGUGGCGUGAGCCAGAGUGAAACAGCCUUUAGUGCAGAUCUUGGUGGUAGUAGCAAAUAUUCAAAUGAGAACUUUGAAGACUGAAGUGGAGAAAGGUUCCACGUGAACAGCAAUUGGACGUGGGUUA